UGGGGAAUAUUGCACAAUGGGCGCAAGCCUGAUGCAGCCAUGCCGCGUGUAUGAAGAAGGCCUUCGGGUUGUAAAGUACUUUCAGCGGGGAGGAAGGCGAUAAGGUUAAUAACCUUGUCGAUUGACGUUACCCGCAGAAGAAGCACCGGCUAACUCCGUGCCAGCAGCCGCGGUAAUACGGAGGGUGCAAGCGUUAAUCGGAGUUACUGGGCGUAAAGCGCACGCAGGCGGUAUGUCAAGUCGGAUGUGAAAUCCCCGGGCUCAACCUGGGAACUGCAUUCGAAACUGGCAGGCUAGAGUCUUGUAGAGGGGGGUAGAAUUCCAGGUGUAGCGGUGAAAUGCGUAGAGAUCUGGAGGAAUACCGGUGGCGAAGGCGGCCCCCUGGACAAAGACUGACGCUCAGGUGCGAAAGCGUGGGGAGCAAACA
rnacentral:rRNA from 1 species